GACGAAGGGGGCUAGCGUUGUUCGGAAUUGACUGGGCGUAAAGCGCGUGUAGGCGGUUGUUCAAGUCAGGUGUGAAAGCCUUGAGCUCAACUCAAGAAAUGCACUUGAUACUGGAUGACUAGAGGACCGGAGAGGAUAGUGGAAUUCCCAGUGUAGUGGUGAAAUACGUAGAGAUUGGGAAGAACACCAGUGGCGAAGGCGGCUAUCUGGACGGUUUCUGACGCUAAGACGCGAAAGCGUGGGGAGCAAACAGG
rnacentral:rRNA from 1 species